AACUUUAUAUCUGGAAGUUCUAACACAGAUAGCUUAACAAGAAAUACCUCUUAUUUUAAUGUCAGAUGUCAUGAUUUUUUUAAGGCUUCUCUGAUAAAAUAUCUUCUUCCAGUAUUCUAAAUUCCCAGCCUUUUUCAUUCUCCUCUUUCUUCCAUCAGAGGCCACCACUUCCACAGAAGGGACUGGUACUUCUGGAACUGGAUUCAAAACUGGUGAGAAGAAACAGCCCAUGAUUUGGCAUCAUAAGUAUUAGGUCUCUCAAGCUUUUCUAGAGAGAGUUUGUGUUUGUGUUAUUUAGGGACAUUGCAAGUGAUUCAAAAUAGAUUUGCUAGUGGAGGUACGUUUUGUUUUGAAAAUCCACUAAUUCUAAAGUGGAUCAUUACUGCUUCAUUUCUGAGGAUACGAUGCACUUCUCCAUUUAUGUUCCAACUCUCGCUAGCAGUUUAGGUGGAAUUCAGAAAGUUUCAGUGCAUGUGUGUGAAACAGAAGAGCUCUGUGGAACCAGGACACAUACAUUUAACGUGUACAUUUGAACAAAAAUGCUGGCUCAGUAUUUUCUCCUACAUGUGAAGUUCAAUACAUUCAAACUCUUUUUCCUCCUCUUUCUAUCUCACAGCAGGCAUCACUGCAGCACCAGGGAAGCAAGCAGCUGAGCAUUGGGAAAAUGCAUCUAGUUUCUCUCUUAUCAAAUUUUCAGUUGUGCUUGUACUUGGAAACAUUGUAUCUCCUUUUGUUAUGAAUUGCUGAAAGCAGACAAAUACAUCAAAUUUUCCACUUGCCUCGUGCUCAGAGAAAGAGGAUUCUGUUAUGGCAAAUAAAUACAGAAAUAUAGCAUAUACCUUUUAGAUUCGGGUCCUCAUUUGACUUACUCGUUCACUGUGAUCACCUCAGUUUCUUUGUGUUUCAGGCACCUCAGAGGUAGCUCCUGCCACAACGGUUGCCCCAGGAAGUUUCAGCACAGCAGCCACAACUUCUCCUGGAGCAAGUGGAAUGACUGGGGUUACAACAACUACAAAGACCACAACUUCCCUAGGAGGAAGUGGCACCACUGGAGCAAAAAUAAAAUUAGGUAAAGACUUUGGAGUAUUUGUAUUUAUUGUUGUUCUUUGAUCGAUUUCUUAGAGAAAAAUUUUUAAUGAGCUUUUUAUUUGAAAAUAAAUUUAAAUUACAGAAAAUUAUCAUAGAUAAUGCAGAGAAUCUUUUUAAUGUGGAAUGUGGGUUUAAAUUUCCUUUGAGGCUGUAAUAUUUCAAGAAAACAGAGUUUGUUCUUGGAUUUGGACUUGUAAACUCUUGAGACCAAAAUUUCUAAAGUCUUUCCCUUCUGAGAGACUAACCUCAGGGUUCUAGGUCUCUGGAGAGGAGACUUGCAAUAAUAGCUCUGGUUUUGAAAAGGUUUUCCCUUUGAAAAGGGCAUAGUCUGUAUGCCAUUAGUGUACUGAUUUCUACAAUGUAGAAAUCACCAAGAUGUCAUAUUUUAGUUUAGAGAUAAAAAUUCAAAAUUGUCUUUCUUCCUUCUUGUUCUUUCUUGUUUUCUCCUCUUCUUUCUUCUCCCUUUCUCUUUUGAUUUUCAGUAGGAACCACCACUACAGCACCAGAAAGUAGGACAGGUAAACUUGGGGAAAGCCUUUCAUAUGACCUUCAACUUUGAACAAAUCUUGGUAAUAAUAUUCGGGGCAGGAAUAUUAGCCACUGCGUUACCCUUGGCUUUGCAAAAGCACACAAUAAACCGGAAGCCUGUUAGUCCUCAUGUCAGUUAUAAUUUCAGGAAGUGUGCUUUCUUGCUUCAAAGUCACAAAUAGACAUACUGUUGGCCACAUUUUUCCAAGGGUCAUGAAAGAGUUCCCAUAUCCAUCUUUCUCUUUUCUUUUCUACCUUGGCACAGCUGGAGUGCCCUCUGGUACAAGAGUCACCCCUGGGAGCUCCAACUCAGGUAAAGCACCAGGCUGGGAGGAACCACUGCUUGGAAAGUGCUCCUCAGUGAGGUGUCUGCCUGGGUGACCCUACCGUACUCUUCUCAGAUUCUUCUAAUCUUUGCCCUCACUGCCAUUCUUUUUCCCUGUUUUGCAGAGGCCACAACUUCUGUAGAAGAAAGCAGAAUAACAAGAGCCGAAGUAAUCACAGAGGCCACAACUUUCUCAGGAGGCAGCGGGGCCACCUGAGCAGGAUUACCCAGAGGUACCACUGGAGAAUUUUCUGGAACGAACUUUAUAUCUGGAAGUUCUAACACAGGUAGCUUAACAAGAAGUAAAUUUUUAUUUAAUGUCAGCUGUCAUAUUUCUUUUAUGGCUUCUAUGGUAAAGUAAUAUCCCAAUAUCUUCUUCCAGUAUUCUAAAUUCCCAGCCUUUUUCAUUCUCCUCUUUCUUCCAUCAGAGGCCACCACUUCCACAGAAGGGACAGGUACUUCUGGAACUGGAUUCAAAAUUGGUGAGAAGAAGCAACCCAUGAUGUGGCAUCAUAAUUAUUAGGUCUCUCAAGCUUUUCUUGAGAGAGUUUGUGUUUAUUUUAUUUAGGGACAAUGCAAGUGAUUCAAAAUAGAUUUGCUGGUGGAGAUACUUUUUUUUAAAUCUACUAAUUUUAAAAUGGAGCAUUACUGUUCCAUUUCCGAGGAUGGGAUGGAAUUUCUCCAUUUGUGUUACAACUAUUGCUAGCAGUUUAGGUGGAAUUCAGAAAGUUUUCAGUGUGUGUAUGUGAAACAGAAAAGAGCCCCAUGGACCCAGGACACAUGCAUUUAUAAGUGUAUAUGUGAACAAAAAUGCCGGCUCAGUAUUUUCUUUCUUAUGUCUCAAGUUUUAAUACAUUUAAACCCUUUUUUCCCUCUUCUUUCUACCUCACAGCAGGCAUCACUUCUGCCCCAGGGAAACAAGCAGGCACCUCUGGGGUAUCUCUUGCCACAACAGUUGCCCCUGGAAGCUUCAGCACAGCCACAACUUCUUCUGGAGCAAGUGGAAUAACUAGGGCUGGCCCCAACUCAGAGACCACAACUUCCCUAGGAGGAAGUGGUACCACUGGAGCAGAAAUAAAAUCAGCUGCAGUGCCCUCUGGUACAACAGUUGCCCCUGGGAGCUCCAACUCAGAAGCCACAACUUCUGUAGGAGAAAAUGGAAAAACAAGAGGUGAAAUAAUCACAGAUACUACUGAGGGCACCUCUGGCAAAGUUCUGGAACCUGGAAGUGCCCACACAGGUCAGGAAUUCUGAACAUGGCCCCUUAAGCAAUAUCAGCUUUGGGAAACCCAGAAUGUCCUGUCCAGUCUUUAUACCUCCAAUUCCUCCCUCUCUCAGAGGCCACAACUUUCCCAGGAGGCAGUGGGACUACCCGAGCAGGACCACCAGGAGGUGAGCUUGUCAGGCUGAGGCCUGGGGCUCUCAUCAUCUCUCUAUCUGGGUGGCUGCAGUGAACAGUAAUGAACAGUAAUGCAGUGAAAGUCUUUUGAGGGAGGGUCCUGCAUUUUCUCUGUGGCCACAGUGUGUCAUAUCAACCUGGUCAGUUAUUCUGCUUGUGAAUUCAUGACCUCAGAUGUCUCAGCCAGGCUGCCUUCAGUGUCCUGGCUUAUGGAAACGAUUUUUUUCUGAUAUGAAGUAUGAGCGUAUAUUGCAUAUAUUCCAACUUUCCAGGACUUCCAACUCUCCUUACCCAGUUUUCCUUUCCACCCACAGUUUGAGACAUUUUCUAUCAUUUUUCUCCUUUACUUACACAUGAUAUUUCUCCCCUCCUACAAAACUUAGUGAAAACAACUGAUUAUUAAAAUCCUCCAAGUUGUAUCAAAGAGUCCUACUUAUAAAUAUAGAAGUGUGCUUUGUUUCUCCCGUAGGCACCUCUGUCACACCAGGGGGCUAUGCUCCUGGAAGGGAAAUAGGUCAGGGUGAUUUAAGCCUUAUUCGUCCCUUCCCUCAUAGAGAAAGGGAAACCCAGUAGCAACACACACGGCCCAGGUUGGCCUGGAAAAUCAAGUACUUGGAGACUGUUCAUUUUCCAUUCUCUACAGGGAUACAGUGUCCUCAGGAAAGGGCUUCCAGUACUUUAGGGCCACACAUGGAUGCUUCCAAGCUUAACUGGGGAGAUAAUGAUCUAUUGCUCCAUUUCCCUUUUUUGGCAUUUUAGGUACCACUGGAGAAUUGUCUAGAAUGACCAUUAUACCUGGAAGUUCUAACACAGGUAGCUUAACAGGAAGGGAAUGCAUCUUAUUUAAUGUCAGAUGUCAUGAUAUCUCUUUUAGGGAUGCUAUUAUAAAGUAAUACCCCAAUAUCCUCUGUAGUAUUCCAAUUCCCAGAUGUCACUAUUCUCCUACUUUUUUUCCUCAGAGGCCACAACUUCCACAAAAGGGACUGGUACUUCUGGAACUGGCUUCAAAACUGGCACCUCUUGGGUGGCGCCUGGCACAACAGUUUCCCCUGGAAGUUUCAGCACAGCCACAAUUUCCCCUGGAGCAAGUAGAACGACUGGGGCUGCACCUGCCGCAGAAACCACAACUUCCCUAGAAGGAGGUGGCACCACUGGAGCAGAAAUAAAAUCAGGAGCCACCUCCGGAGUACCGGGAAGUAAGACAGGUAAACUUGGGGAAAGCCUUUCAAAUGACCUUCAACAUUGGCAAAAAAAAAAAAAAAAAA
rnacentral:lncRNA from 1 species